rnacentral:lncRNA from 1 species
AACACAGCAGUAAGGAAACAGCCCAGUUGUUCGGUCCUAGCCAAGGAGGCUGUGUCAGCAUCCACCUCAGACUAUACCACCAUCCCAGAGACGGACCACCCCACAGCCUCUACCCCAGAGCAUACCACCACCAUCAUCCCAGAGACGGACCAUAAGACAGCCUCCACCCCAGACCAUACCACCAUCCCAGAGACGGACCACCCCACAGCCUCCACCCCAGACCAUACCACCACCCCAGAGACGAACCACCCCGCCGCCUCUACCCCAGACCAUACCACCACCACCAUCCCAGAGACAGACCACCCCACAGCCCCCAACCCAGCUAGGUCCCUCCGUCACAGGAACAGCAUCAGGAGAGGUGGCGGCUGAGGAGCAGGAGAUUGUGGGCCGUUUAGACCUCCCAGAGACAGAGGAGGACACGCCCACUGGAGGGGGCGAGAUGGAGGACCGUAGGUCAGGGGCGGAGUCUCAGGCUGCCUGUCAAAUGACACCGCUGGUUACGAGUGGCCCCUUGAGCAGGCCUGGUAGAAGACCCAGAGGAUUUCUUUCUUUCAUGUCCAAUAAGACCAGCAGCCCUGCAGCUGCCCCCUCUGCCCCUCCUCGAGGGCCCAGAGCAGCCCCUCAGAGGCCCCAGGUCAACACCACCCGGCCAGGGGGAAACGGGCGGCACCAGCCCCCUCCACCACCAGAACCAUGCCUGCCCCCUCCACUAGAAACACCACCAUUAGUUCCACCAGAACGGUCACUAGGCCAGACAGUUCCCCCAGGGUGACCUGGGAACAGCCCUCUGAUGUCCAGGCCUUCCACUCAGACCCAGAUCCCAGUACUUCCCAAUGUACUACAGCUACCAAGGUAAAGAGAUGGACAACAUGUGGUGAUAUUUUACCUCUGCAAAAUUGCACUGAACACAAAAACAUUGAUCUACCAUUGUGGGAAUAAUCUUGUACGAUCAGACACAGAAUUAUUAUUGUUCUUCUGUCCUACUCUCUCUCCCGCUCUCUCUCUCUUUCUCUCUCUCCCUCCCCAUCUCUCUUUCUCUCUCUCCCUCCCCAUCUCUCUCUCCCUCCCCAUCUCUCUCUCUCUCUCUCCCGCUCUCUCUUUCUCUCUCUCCCUCCCCAUCUCUCUCUCUCUCCCGCUCUCUCUUUCUCUCUCUCUCCCUCCCCAUCUCUCUCUCUCUCUCCCGCUCUCUCUUUCUCUCUCUCUCCCUCCCCAUCUCUCUCUCCACUAGCCUUCUCAGGUACCAGCCACCCAGCCCAGUGCGUCUCCCUGUGUAGACAGCUGUUCAGCAGGCGAGGAACCCCUCAACGUGUCCCAGUACUUCUUCAGUGACAUCUUCACUGAGGUUGAGGGAAGGGAGGAAGGAGGAGGAAGUGAAAGGAGAAACGGAAGUCACUCUCGGUUUUAAUCAAACUGGAAAACAAAAUGUUAAGAAAUCCUUGAAAGAUUGCGCUUCAGGGUUCAGGGUUCAGGGUUCUUUGCACGUAUGUCUGUGUAUGUAGCAGUAAAAUUACAUCUCUGCUUGUGAUUAUGCUGUUUCAUGCUUGCAGUGAAUAGAUUUGGCCACAAGAUGGCAACAGGGAAAACAAAAAAAGUGAAAAUGUAUCUUCAAAUCAUAAAUGUUUUGUCCAAACUGGCACCUAGAAGCUUUGCCAAUGUCCCAUAUUGGAUGAUUACAUUUUGGGCUCUUUCACCCCAAUCAUAUCUUCUAGCCUUUUGGGUAAUCUAUAUAUUUUAAAAUAUAUUUAUUUGGUUAUAUUUUUUCAAACCUCACAAAGCUAGACAUUUAUGGUCAUUUUUCUCCAUCUGCAUACAAGCAGAAUACUUGAAAUCAAUGUUAACUCACUCUUCUACAUUGGAGAGUUUGGCAGUUUACUCAGGGACUUUCACAUUCAGAUUUGUGUUUUUAUUUGAAGCAUUUUUUACAUUUAAAUCGGAAACCAUUGUCUUAAUGAACAUUGUAUAUAUGUUUAUUUGAAUGUAGAUCAGAUAUACUGGAAGGGGUGUAUUCCCUGAGCAUUUACAGUUUUUCUUUCUAGGUGUAUGAACAAGACCCAGCUUGAGGGACACCACAGUGAUGUCAACACUUGUUUCUUUAUUUCAUGCUACCUGAAGAUACAGGACAUAUAUUUUCAAAUGGCUCUGCAAAGAAACCUCUCAUUUAAUACAUGUACAAGUGACAAACUCACAGAAACCGUGCACAGAUCAUGAGUCCAAUUUCAAGGAUUUAUUAUGUUCUGCAGCCACUGUUCAAACUAACAUAGCUAUUAUAUAGCUCAUGUGAAUACAAUUAUAUACGUUAAUGUCUCCUUUAGUGUUAUGUCUUGCUACAUUAUAGAAAACUGAGUAUAGAAAAGUAGAAUAAAUGCAUAAGAAUGGUCAGAGGGUUUGAAACUGGACUAGUGUAGAACAGUCCUGCUGCACACUAAACACUGCUUCUUGCAGACCACCUAUGCAACCUAUGCAGAACCUUAUGUUCACAUAAGAAAUAUGUUACGAAGUUCUUCUAAAAAUAUUGUGUUAUUUUGGAGAAGAUAGCAUGGAUAUCAUCUUAGUUAGUCUCAACAGAAAUUAAGAGGACACAUGAUCUCAAAAGCCUUAAAGGUGUAAUGAAAACUUCAGCAUUUGAGUGUAGUCUUUUUUUUGUUGCUGUGUGUGUGUCGCGGGGAUGGGGGAGGAAUGUGCAGAUGUUUAAUUUCCAAGCGGCAUAGAGAGGCAGUGCGAUCGAAGAGACGAAGCUGCAUGUUACUAGGUGACCUCACUACAUAAAUAUUCCACGCUCUCACAGUCAGCCCUUGUGCAGUUCCACUCUUCUUUUGGUCCAUGUUGAAUAGGGAUGUAAAGGAAUUCACUUUUAUAGACCCUGUGCUUUUAAAUUAAUCAGGGGUUUUCCAACUGUUUCUGUUCUGCCUUAAAGAUGUGAAAUAAACACUGUGCAUGAGAGGUAUUACUUGCCAGUCAAUGUUUUAAGCCCGUAUGAACUCAUCACUAGUAAUGUCUGUCUCUGAUUAUGAACAUGCAAUGGUAGAUUGUCGUAAACGUUUUUGUGGAUAACUCCGAACCACUAAUUGUGGCGAUAAACUGAAUACUGUAAUCUGUAAUUAAGUGUAAUCAGGAACCAAUUAAGUAAAAAUAUAGGGAAUAAUUGAAGUGCAUUAUCUUCCAGGGAAGAAGUGAUAGAGCUUCCGUUGGUAGUGGACGUUCAAGGGAAUCCACAUCCAGGGUCCAGUCUAGGGUGAAUUACAUCCAGGGUGAAUUACACAGGUGUAUUUGAUUUGUACUCGUGGGUCCUGCAUACCAUAGGGUGGCGCACAGUUGGACCAGCGUCGUUAGUGUUUGGCCGUGAUAGGCCGCCAUUGUAAAUAAUAAUUUGUUCCUAACUGACUUGCUAGUUAAAUAAAAAU